CCUACGGGCGGCAGCAGUAGGGAAUAUUGCUCAAUGGACGAGAGUCUGAACCAGCCAAGUAGCGUGAAGGAUGACUGCCCUAUGGGCUGUAAACUUCGUUUAUAAAGGAAUAAAACGAGGCACGUGUCCCUUUUUGCCUGUACUUUAUGAAUAAGGAUCGGCUAACUUCGUGCCAGCAGCCGCGGUAAUACGGAGGAUCCGAGCGUUAUCCGGAUGUAUUGGGUUUAAAGGGAGCGUAGAUGGGUUGUUAAGUUAGUUGUGAAAGUUUGCGGCUCAACCGUAAAGUGGCAAUUGAUACUGGGAGUCUUGAGUACAGAUGAGGAGGGCGGAAUUCGUGGUGUAGCGGUGAAAUGCGUAGAUAUCACGAAGAACCCCGAUGGCGAAGGCAGCUUACUGAUCUGUGACUGACAUUGAUGCUCGAAAGUGUGGGGAUCAAACAGGAUUAGAUACCCCUGUAGUC
rnacentral:rRNA from 1 species